rnacentral:rRNA from 1 species
CCUACGGGUGGCAGCAGUGAGGAAUAUUGGUCAAUGGUCGAAAGGCUGAACCAGCCAAGUCGCGUGAGGGAAGACGGCCCUACGGGUUGUAAACCUCUUUUGUCGGGGAACAAAACGAACCACGUGUGGGUCCUUGUGUGUACCCGACGAAAAAGCAUCGGCUAACUCCGUGCCAGUAGCCGCGGUAAUACGGAGGAUUCGAGCGUUAUCCGGAUUUAUUGGGGUUAAAGGGGGCGUAGGCGGUCUGUUAAGUCAGCGGUCAAAGCCUGGGGCUCAACCCCAGCACUGCCGUUGAAACUGGCAGUCUCGAGUGGGAGAGAAGUAGGCGGAAUGCGCGGUGUAGCGGUGAAAUGCAUAGAUAUCGCGCAGAACUCCGAUUGCGAAGGCAGCACGCCGGAUCCAAACUGACGCUGAGGCACGAAAGCGUGGGUAUCGAACAGGAUUAGAUACCCUAGUAGUC